rnacentral:rRNA from 1 species
GGAUGAGCCCGCGGCCUAUCAGCUUGUUGGUGGGGUGAUGGCCUACCAAGGCGGUGACGGGUAGCCGGCCUGAGAGGGCGACCGGCCACACUGGGACUGAGACACGGCCCAGACUCCUACGGGAGGCAGCAGUGGGGAAUAUUGCACAAUGGGCGCAAGCCUGAUGCAGCGACGCCGCGUGAGGGAUGACGGCCUUCGGGUUGUAAACCUCUUUCGCCAGGGACGAAGGGUGAUACUGACGGUACCUGGAGAAGAAGCACCGGCUAACUACGUGCCAGCAGCCGCGGUAAUACGUAGGGUGCGAGCGUUGUCCGGAAUUAUUGGGCGUAAAGAGCUCGUAGGCGGUGUGUCGCGUCUGCCGUGAAAACCUACAGCUUAACUGUGGGCGUGCGGUGGAUACGGGCAUCACUUGAGUUCGGCAGGGGAGACUGGAAUUCCUGGUGUAGCGGUGGAAUGCGCAGAUAUCAGGAGGAACACCGGUGGCGAAGGCGGGUCUCUGGGCCGAUACUGACGCUGAGGAGCGAAAGCGUGGGGAGCGAACAGGAUUAGAUACCCUGGUAGUCCACGCUGUAAACGUUGGGCGCUAGGUGUGGGGUGCUGUCCAUGUACUCCGUGCCGUAGCUAACGCAUUAAGCGCCCCGCCUGGGGAGUACGGCCGCAAGGCUAAACUCAAAGGAAUUGACGGGGGCCCGCACAAGC